AGUGAACGCUGGCGGUAGGCCUAACACAUGCAAGUCGAACGGCAGCACAGUAAGAGCUUGCUCUUACGGGUGGCGAGUGGCAGACGGGUGAGGAAUACAUCGGAAUCUACUUUUUCGUGGGGUAUAACGUAGGGAAACUUACGCUAAUACCGCAUACGACCUACGGGUGAAAGCAGUGGAUCUUCGUACCUUGCGCGAUUGAAUGAGCCGAUGUCGGAUUAGCUAGUUGGCGGGGUAAAGGCCCACCAAGGCGACGAUCCGUAGCUGGUCUGAGAGGAUGAUCAGCCACACUGGAACUGAGACACGGUCCAGACUCCUACGGGAGGCAGCAGUGGGGAAUAUUGGACAAUGGGCGCAAGCCUGAUCCAGCCAUACCGCGUGGGUGAAGAAGGCCUUCGGGUUGUAAAGCCCUUUUGUUGUGAAAGAAAAGCAGCAGGUUAAUACCCCGCUGUUCUGACGGUACCCAAAGAAUAAGCACCGGCUAACUUCGUG
rnacentral:rRNA from 1 species